CGUAAUUUACAGAUUACGGGAAACGUUCCUGAGGUGGAAGUUGCUGCUCCAGAUGAGGGUGAUCUGGGGAAGAACAUUCAGGCAAGGGCUGAGAAAGAUGGAGAGGCUUUUGACAAGGCGAUUAUGAUGUAGGCACAUGUUAAUGACACAUAUCAAAAUAGAUAUAUGUUACAGAACAUUCUGAAAUUAACCAAUCAGUCGAUCAAGGUGAGAGCCAAUGUCAAGAAGGCCCAGGAGAGACAGAAGGAGGCCUACCGAAGGAGUACAAAGAAGGGGACCACGCGCUUCAAGAUCUCCCCAGGCAUGGAGGUCCUGAAGAAGGACAGCAGGAAGUGUGGAAGGCCUGGGGGCACGAUGGAUCCUGAUUGGCCAACCAAAUAUAGGUUGGGGACAACAACCUGGUGCAGCUGGAGGCCAUGGAUGGGAAGCCGCUGAAAACAAGAACACCCUAUGCUUCAGGGAAGCCCAUACGUAUGAGAUCACCAGCUGGCCAACCAACCAGUAAAACUGUGUCCCCUCCAACCGAGUCAGUGCAUUCAGAUGACCCCAAAUUGCACAGCUUUGAGUCAGAGGAGGACCCACUUCAGGUGACAUGCACUGUACUCCAGGACAGUUGUGCAUCCUCUUUAGAGUCAGGCUAUUUAGAAGACGGGUGGAAGACUUCGGGGCCAUGAUUCACGGCCAGCACACAUGGUUGGAUGACAAGGUCAUUGAACAUGCCCAGGCUCUGAUGAAGGUGCAGCAUCCAUAUAUAGGAGGGCUCCAUGCAACCACCUCCCUCGCCCUGCUGUCCAGUGUACCUACACCAACUCAGGGGCUUGUGCAGAUUCUUAAUGUCUCUGCAAAUCACUGGGUUACGGGAAGAGUGUCCGGCUGCAGUGGCCUGAUGUCCAACAGCAGGCGGGUGGCUCAGACUGUGGACUGUUUGCUAUUGCAACAGUCUCACUCUCUGCAGAGGUGAGGAUCCCUCCGUGCUCCAGUACCAUCAGCCAGCUAU